UGGGGAAUAUUGCACAAUGGAGGGAACUCUGAUGCAGCGACGCCGCGUGAGUGAUGAAGGAAUUCGUUUCGUAAAACUCUGUUCUAUGGGAAGAAAAGGACUGUACCAUAGUAGAACGCUCCGGCUAAAUACGUGCCAGCAGCCGCGGUAAUACGUAUGGAGCGAGCGUUGUCCGGAAUUAUUGGGCGUAAAGGGUGCGCAGGCGGCUUUACAAGUUGGAUGUGAAAUAUUGUGGCUCAACCACAAACGUGCAUCCAAAACUGCAAAGCUUGAGUUAAGGAGAGGUAAGUGGAAUUCCUGGUGUAGCGGUGGAAUGCGUAGAUAUCAGGAGGAAUACCGGUGGCGAAGGCGACUUACUGGACUUAAACUGACGCUCAGGCACGAAAGCGUGGGGAGCAAACAGG
rnacentral:rRNA from 1 species